GACAGAGGUGGCGACCGUUGUUCGGAAUCACUGGGCAUAAAGCGCGUGUAGGCGGCAUCGUAAGUCGGGUGUGAAAUCCCUCGGCCCAACCGAGGAAUUGCGCCCGAAACUACCUUGCUUGAGGACCAGAGGGGAGCCUGGAAUUCCUGGUGGAGCGGUGAAAUGCGUUGAUAUCAGGAGGAACACCGGCGGCGAAGGCGAGGCUCUGGCUGGUUACUGACGCUGAGACGCGAAAGCUAGGGGAGCAAACGGG
rnacentral:rRNA from 1 species